rnacentral:rRNA from 1 species
GACGAACGCUGGCGGCGUGCUUAACACAUGCAAGUCGAACGGAAAGGCCCUGCUUUUGUUGCGUGCUCGAGUGGCGAACGGGUGAGUAACACGUGAGUAACCUGCCCCUGACUUUGUGAUAACUCUAGGAAACUCGGGCUAAUAUCGGAGAUGAGCUCUUGCUCCACGGGGGGGGUUGGAAAGUUUCGGCGGUUGGGGAUAGACUCGCUGGUUAUCAGCUUGUUGGUGGGGUAGUGGCUUACCAAGGCUUUGAAGGGUAGCCGGCCUGAGAGCGUGGACGGCCACAUUGGGACUGCGAUACGGCCCAGACGCCUACGGGAGGCAGCGGUGGGAAAUAUUGCACAAUGAGCCCAAGCGUGAUGCAGCAACGCCGGGUGCGGGAUGACGGCCUUCGGGUUGUAAACAGAUUUGGCCUGUACCGAAGCGUGAUUGACGGUAAUGGGUAAAGAAGCACCGGCUAACUACGUG